UACAGAGGGUGCGAGCGUUAAUCGGAAUUACUGGGCGUAAAGCGUGCGUAGGUGGUUGAUUAAGUUAUCUGUGAAAUCCCUGGGCUUAACCUGGGCAGGUCAGAUGAUACUGGUUGACUCGAGUAUGGGAGAGGGUAGUGGAAUUUCCGGUGUAGCGGUGAAAUGCGUAGAGAUCGGAAGGAACACCAGUGGCGAAGGCGGCUACCUGGCCUAAUACUGACACUGAGGCACGAAAGCGUGGGGAGCAAACAGG
rnacentral:rRNA from 1 species